rnacentral:rRNA from 1 species
AUACGGAGGGUGCAAGCGUUGUUCGGAAUUAUUGGGCGUAAAGCGGGUGUAGGCGGCCCGGCAAGUCAGAUGUGAAAUCCCUGGGCUCAACCCAGGAACUGCAUCUGAAACUGCCGAGCUAGAGUCUCGGAGAGGGUGGCGGAAUUCCCGGUGUAGAGGUGAAAUUCGUAGAUAUCGGGAGGAACACCAGUGGCGAAGGCGGCCACCUGGACGAUGACUGACGCUCAGACCCGAAAGCGUGGGGAGCAAACAGGAUUAGAUACCCCGGUAGUCC